rnacentral:rRNA from 1 species
GGAAGGGGCUAGCGUUGUUCGGAAUUACUGGGMGUAAAGNNGUAGGCGGUUUAACAAGUUGGGUGUNAAAGCCCAGGGCUCAACCUGGGAACUGCACCCAAGACUGUUUUACUUGAAUUCGGUAGAGGAUGGUGGAAUUCCCAGUGUAGAGGUGAAAUUCGUAGAUAUUGGGAAGAAUAUCCGUGGCGAAGGCGGCCAUCUGGACCGACAUUGACGCUGAGGCGCGAAANNGUGGGGAGCAAACAGGAUUAGAUACCCUGGUAGUCCACGCCGUAAACGAUGCAUGCUAGACGUUGGAAACCUCAGGUUUCUUNNNNNNNNAACGCUCUAAGCAUGCCGCCUGGGGAGUACGGCCGCA